UUACGGUCAAAUCAGGCUGAAAACACCGGUUCUCGUUCGAUCACCGAAGUUAAGCAUCGUAGAGCCAGGUCAGUACUUAGAUGGGGACCGCUUGGGAACACCUGGUACUGUAAG